CUCAUCUCCAUUUAAACUAAUUUAGAACUAGAAAAAAAAUGAUUAUGGAUAACAGAAGGUGAAGAAGACAGAGAAACUGAACACAGGAGAGAUAAGAGGAAGGUCGGCCUUCCUCUCUACCACAGAAGCAAUUCUGAAGAUUCCCUUAUCUCUUUCUCUGCGUCUGUUUCUUCUAAAUCGUUUUUGCUUUAGGUUCUCUUCUUGCUCUGCAGAAGGUAAGCUGCAGGCUUCACAACCACCUCUCUCGCUUUCUUAGAACUCUUUUUCUUUUUUUAAAUAAUCAUGCAAUGAUGAUUCGGUGCAUUUAUAAUUUCAGAUAUGACUGUUUUUUAUGUGUUUGAUAAUUUGCUACAGUAUUUGAUUUACAUUUCA